AGUGAACGCUGGCGGUAGGCCUAACACAUGCAAGUCGAACGGCAGCACAGUAAGAGCUUGCUCUUACGGGUGGCGAGUGGCGGACGGGUGAGGAAUACAUCGGAAUCUACUUUUUCGUGGGGGAUAACGUAGGGAAACUUACGCUAAUACCGCAUACGACCUACGGGUGAAAGCAGGGGAUCUUCGGACCUUGCGCGAUUGAAUGAGCCGAUGUCGGAUUAGCUAGUUGGCAGGGUAAAGGCCCACCAAGGCGACGAUCCGUAGCUGGUCUGAGAGGAUGAUCAGCCACACUGGAACUGAGACACGGUCCAGACUCCUACGGGAGGCAGCAGUGGGGAAUAUUGGACAAUGGGCGCAAGCCUGAUCCAGCCAUACCGCGUGGGUGAAGAAGGCCUUCGGGUUGUAAAGCCCUUUUGUUGGGAAAGAAAAGCAGCAGGUUAAUACCCCGCUGUCCUGACGGUACCCAAAGAAUAAGCACCGGCUAACUUCGUG
rnacentral:rRNA from 1 species